GGCGAGUGAAGCGGCAACAGCUCAAAUUUGAAAUCUGGCCCCCCCGACCGCGGGGGCCCGAGUUGUAAUUUGCAGAGGAUGCUUUCGGCGCGGCGCCUUCCGAGUUCCCUGGAACGGGACGCCACAGAGGGUGAGAGCCCCGUACGGUCGGACGCCCAGCCACUGUAAAGCUCCCUCGACGAGUCGAGUAGUUUGGGAAUGCUGCUCUAAACGGGAGGUAUAUGUCUUCUAAAGCUAAAUACUGGCCAGAGACCGAUAGCGCACAAGUAGAGUGAUCGAAAGAUGAAAAGCACUUUGAAAAGAGAGUUAAAGAGCACGUGAAAUUGUUGAAAGGGAAGCGCUCGAGACCAGACUUGGGCCCGGGGGAUCACCCGGCGUUCUCGCCGGUGCACUCCGCCGGGCCCAGGGCAGCAUCAGUUCGCCGCGGGGGACAAAGGCGCCGGGAACGUGGCUCCCCCAGUUGGGGAGUGUUUAUAGCCCGGCGUGCAAUGCCCCGCGCGCGGACUGAGGCACGCGCUCCGCAAGGAUGCUGGCGUAAUGGUCCCCAGCGACCCGUCUUGAAACACGGACCAAGGAGUCGUCCUCGUAUGCGAGUGUUCGGGCGUCAAACCCCUACGCGUAAUGAAAGUGAACGCAGGUGAGAGCUUCGGCGCACCACCGACCGAUCCCGAUGGCCCGCCCGGACGGAUUUGAGUAAGAGCAUACGGGGCCGGACCCGAAAGAAGGUGAACUAUGCCUGUAUAGGGUGAAGCCAGAGGAAACUCUGGUGGAGGCUCGCAGCGGUUCUGACGUGCAAAUCGAUCGUCAAAUAUGGGCAUGGGGGCGAAAGACUAAUCGAACCUUCUAGUAGCUGGUUUCCGCCGAAGUUUCCCUCAGGAUAGCAGUCGCCGAAGUUUCCCUCAGGAUAGCAGUGUCGAGACCUCCAGUUUUAUGAGGUAAAGCGAAUGAUUAGGGACCCGGGGGCGCUACCUAGCCUCCAUCCAUUCUCAAACUUUAAAUAUGUAAGAAGCCCUUGUUACUUGGUUGAACGUGGGCGUUCGAAUGCAUCGACACUAGUGGGCCAUUUUUGGUAAGCAGAACUGGCGAUGCGGGAUGAACCGAACGCGAGGUUAAGGUGCCAGAGUAGACGCUCAUCAGACACCACAAAAGGCGUUAGUACAUCUUGACAGCAGGACGGUGGCCAUGGAAGUCGGAACCCGCUAAGGACUGUGUAACAACUCACCUGCCGAAUGUACUAGCCCUGAAAAUGGAUGGCGCUCAAGCGUCUCACCCAUACCUCGCCCUCGGGGUGGAAGCGAAGCCCCGAGGAGUAGG
rnacentral:rRNA from 1 species